UCCUAUUCUUGAGCUUGGCUGUGUAUUCGAGGUUUAGUGCCUAUUUCUGGAUUGGCGGUUUAAAUGAGCCCUGUAGAUUGUUUGGGGAUUGAUUUUAAGGUGAGCCAUGGGUUCUUAGAUCGUACCUAUGAUAAAUUUGGGGGUUUCAGGUUUCCACAUAGAUCUAUCCAUCUCUUUCAAUCUGCAGGGAUAUUGUGGUUAAGUAAAAUGGUGGAAAAAAGGGAAAAUCUGGCCAGUUUGAGAAAAAUACAUGGAUGUCAUCAUACAGUUAUAAUGUUCCGAAUGGUUUCAGAAACAUCUUUGCAUUUUCUUCCAAUUUGUUAACAAUGAAGAGUACGUUCAUGUAGACCUGUACUGUUGUUUUUCUUUUUAGUAUAGUGAGAGGUAUUUAUGUCGAUUCAGUUGGACUGUUUGUACUUCUUCAUUACAGAUCCCUGGUAGUGUCCCUUGCAGAUUUUGUAAUUGACUUUUUCUGAUUAGCAGAUUAUUUUUCACCAUCUAUGUAGUCCUUUUACAUGAAGAAUUCAUUAUUUUGGAGCUUGAGAGAUGAACAAGAAUUUUAGAGGCAACAAUACUGAAUAUAUCUAUUGUAGGCCCGUUGAGUGAUCAACCUGGCCUCUUUCUUUACAGCAGGUUUCUGUUGCCAUUGUUUUCAUUGAGGUUUGCAGUCCACCAAUCUAUUUACCGGGCACAGAUGAAUCUAUUCUGAAGUGUGGAGAGAUAUCACACUCUUCUUCCUUUUCUGGUACAUGGGUGCUUCCAAUUGAAGUGCUCAUUUGUUUCUUUGAGUAUCCAUCAGUUAUUUGGACCUUCUAUGAUCUCUGUGUUUACAACUUGAUUUCAGUUUACAGAGAUUUAUUUAUGUUUGUAGGCUACUCAUAUUGAUGAUUGAUGAUGUGGCCGGUUGGUAUUCUUCCAGUCGUCAUCUGGUCACCUCUCCUUCUGGUUUGCGUGCUCUGCCUCGACGUUUGAAGACUUAUAUCCAGAUCAGAUACUCUUCGAUGUUGUACAACUGCUCCAUUAAACGCACACCUCAGCAUGCCAUUAAAACAGUAUACAUAAAGGUACCCCACAGAAUCACACACAUCAAGUUUGUGUUUUCAUUGGCAAUUUCAAACCAUGUUGUCCUCAAACAUUUUUGCGGUCUCCAAUCAAAGAACAAGAAAUAUUCAUAUGUAGCAGGUCAUUAUUCCCCUUAAUAGCCAACUUAACAGGGAUUAAUGAAAAUUUUGUUCACCCGUCUGGGUUAUAUUUGCGAUCAGCCUACUUCAAUACCAUGUCAAAAGCCUAACAUUUGUUGCGCUAAUGUCUUUUUACAUAUGAACAUAGAUCUGUCAUGAAAUGUUUGAGUUGGGUUCAAACUUCUUUCUGAAUGUCUGAUCAUAAAUCGGCCACAUCACCAGGUAGGAUGGCAUCUCCACUCAUUUCAGUGUUCAUCAUUUGGUCUAUCACCAGUGAGACUAUCAAAUCUUCAAUAUUAAAGCUUAUUCCAAGACUUUGGUUGGUAGUUCUGUAGUUGAUCAAGUAGUUUCAUCCAGUAGCCUGACUUGGUGUUCUUAUUUUUGCAGAAAAUGCAUGUUGUCAAUUAGAUUGCAGAUUAGAAAGAGCCACUCUCCUUUAGGCCAGCGGUGGUUGCACAAAAAAUUCUCUAGGAAACCAAGCAAACUUCCAUUAUUCCCAACUUUGUUUUGUUCUUUCUGACCUAUAACUGAACUAGAGUACUUGAUUCUGAUCAGUGGGUAGUGUAAUUUUUUUUCAACUAUUAAAUAUCUUUAGAAGAUGGCCUGCUCCUGUUUUGGAGAGUGUAAUGCUCGGUUUGUCUGCUUCUCUGUCUUACUUAGCAGUUAGCAGUGCAGUCACUAAGUAGUCAGUCACUUAUGCAAUCACCACCGGAAAUAUCUUGCCUUUUCUUUUUCCCAAUUUUGUUUUGUUCUUUCUGACCUAUAACUGAACUAGAUGACUUGAUUCUGAUCAACGGGUAGUGUAAUUUUUUUCAAGUAUUAAGUCCCUUUAGAAGAUGACCUACUCCAGUUUUUGAGAGUGUAAUGCUCGGUUUGUCUGCUUCUCUGUCUCUUACUUAGCAGUGCAAUCACUUAUUAGUCAGUCACUUAUGCAACCACCACUGGAAAUAUUUCCUCUUCAUUAUCAAGAUCAUGAUUUAUAGUGUGAUUCUUCUGUAGUGCCGGUGAACUAAGCGGGUUUGAUGAACACAUGUUGGUGUUGUUGCAGGUUAAGAGUUUUAGUGUCAGAUGAGGGAAUUGGAUAGCUCCUACAUGUUCGUUGUUUCUUAAGUGUGGAUGUUUCUUAAGUGCAGUGAUGGAUAUAUACUAUAUACAUGUAAAGGUAACUCAAAGGAUCACACGUGAACUUCAUAAUUUCGUUGGCAGCUUCAAGAAAAGCAACCUACAUCUCAACUGGGACCUUCCGAUCUUCAAUAUAGACUUCCAAGUGUUCUGUUGUUUUGAUCAGCUCAGCGGACAUCUAACGACAUUUUGGUUCCAUGACUCCAUGAGGCCUCCUACUCUUUGCAUGUUUUAUGCAAAGUGCAACGAGUUUAGGCUGCACAAGAUGUACAUGCAAAUGUGGUCAUAUUCUCAAAAGUUCAAGCAUAGGAUUUCUUAGCUCUUCUGAUAGAAGGGUUGAUUGACAGAAAACUAAGCCUCACUUUCUGUAUAAAAUGUACUGGUUCUUUCUUUUUGCAAUAUAGAACAGUAGCUAACCAAA